rnacentral:rRNA from 1 species
UUUACCAAAAACAUCGCCUUUUGUAAAACUAUAAAAGGUCCAGCCUGCCCAGUGACUCUGUUCAACGGCCGCGGUAUCCUAACCGUGCGAAGGUAGCGUAAUCACUUGUUCUUUAAUUGUGGACUAGUAUGAAUGGCACCACGAGGGCUAUACGUCUCCUUUUUCCAAUCAGUGAAACUAAUCUCCCCGUGAAGAAGCGGGAAUAAUCUUAUAAGACGAGAAGACCCUAUGGAGCUUCAAACAAUAUAGCAAUUAUUACACAACACCCAUCUCCUGAACACAAUUACUGAAAUUACAUGACUAUAAGCUUUUGGUUGGGGUGACCACGGAGCAUAAUAUAACCUCCAUGCUGAAAGAAAUAUUCUAAGCCAAGAAUCACCUGUCAAAGCAUCAAUUUAUUGACACUCAUUGACCCAAUACAUUUGAUCAACGAACCAAGUUACCCUAGGGAUAACAGCGCAAUCCACUUUAAGAGCUCCUAUCGACAAGUGGGUUUACGACCUCGAUGUUGGAUCAGGGUGUCCUAGUGGUGCAGCUGCUACUAAAGGUUCGUUUGUUCAACGAUUAAAACCCUACGUGAUCUGAGUUCAAACCGGA